CUCUCAUAAAUGGCCAGAUCCAACGUUUGUUGUCGAAAAAGGUCUACUCCAGGUUUGUCUGGCACAACACACCACCUCUGCCUUGACCGGUUCAUUGCAAAAAGCUGCCGGUCCCGAUUCACUUUGGACUGCUCCAGAUCCGGAUGUUCUACAGAUCAAUAUAGACGGGGCAUUUCAGAGUGACAAAAAUUCGGGAUCUACGGCUUAUAUUUGCCGAGAUCACAAUGGCAACAUGAUAGAAGGUUUUACCUGUGCUGUAGAUGCUUCUUCCGCUCUUCAGGUUGAAAUCCAGGCGCUAACCCUAGCAUUAAAUCACCUUUUGAAGCAAGGUAGAGUAACUGAGAAAGUCAUCAUAGAUUCUGACUGCAAAACGUUGGUUGAAGCUGUUAAUGAUCCGUACACGACGCCAUGGGAGGUUCGGAGUCUGCUUGCUGAAGUCGUCGCACUCUUACCCUGUUUUUCACAGCUGCAACUUAGGUUUAGAAGGCGUGAAACAAACACUGUAGCGGACUGGGCUGCUAAGGCCCAUCUCCGCGGGUCUCUGCCUUCGAAUUGGGCAGCAAAUCCUCCUUCUAUUUUGUUGGACCUUCU
rnacentral:lncRNA from 1 species